rnacentral:lncRNA from 1 species
CAAUUUAUGCACGUGACCCAGCCACCUAAGACUCUCCUGGCCCAGGUCUGUGGCUGGUAUUCCCAUUGGCUUACUGUUCUGUCUCACUGGGGGCACCCCUACCCUAUACUGUAGAAUUCUUGGAAUGACAGAGCACUUGGGAAGACCCAGCUCACAUGUCAAGAUGUCGCAGAGCACUGUGUUGGACAUGACCAUUCUUUCCAUCCUUGUUGGCUGAAAAUCCGCCCUUAUUUUCAUCCACCGAGCCCCUGAACAGCUUUCCACACAGCUCUUAUGGUGAUGACACAGCAGAAAACAUGGCGAGGCUUCUGCAGUGGCUGCAGAAAAGCCUGUCCCUGGAGCGACCUGGCCGGUCGCGCAAAGAGCUAGCUUCUUAUCAAAGACCUUCCCAACACAGAGAUGGGUUCCCAAGACACCCUGCCAUUUUCAAGGUCAAUCUUGCAGGCCCAAGGACAAAACCGAAGGGAUGCAAAAAUGAGCUUUUUCUCAUUAAUCCCACUUGCAAGACUGAAGAAAACCUUAAAAUACCCAAAAUUCAGGGGAGACAUAGCAACUGAGUCUCAUGGAGUCCACAGGGGCUGCCGACCCACUGUGUCAAGGACAACUGUGAGAGCAGCUUGUUGAGAAAGAAGUCACUCUGCUUUGCCCCUGCAGCGUUUAUUUUGGAAAAAACCCAAGUUUGUGGUUGGUCUGGAAUGGAGUCUAUGACCUAUGUGAGGAGAGUAUGAAAAUAACAAAUAGAGACCCUGUAGCCUAAGGAUCAAGAUUCUAGUUAUCCUCAUAGUCCAGAGGGUCGGACAAGAGGACCAGAAGUUCAAAGUCAUCUUCUGCUGCAUAAAUCUGAGGCUAAGCUAGCUCCAUGAGACCUUGCCUCAGAACCCCAAAGAGACCUUUUCAACCUAGCUUCUUUGGGCCUAUAUGGUGGAGGUGGCCGCAACCAAGAGAAAACGAUAUAUAGAGAAUGGUGUUGGCUUUGUUCUGGCAAAACAGAGAUUCAGACAAAGGCCAGAAGAUAAUGGUGGUGCUCCUGAAUAGAGGUCCCCUGGUUCAAACGUCCAUCUACUGGAACAAGGUCAAUGAUCCUCCAGGGACUCUCAACUCCCUAUCUACGCACUCUCUACAGCAAAACAUCCUGUGCUUGGGAAAGUCUGAGCUGAACCCAGCUCCUGUGGCUUCUGCUCAAUCUUAGUUCCUUGUUUGCAAGAAUGAGAGGCAAACAGCAAGCCUUGUGCAUCUUUGUAUAGAUAGAAAACAACCCUCCCAACCCCCCAUUUUACAGUAUUUGGGUUUGGCUUUUUUUCUCUUUCUUUUCUCUUCUCUUUCUUCUCUUCUCUUCUCUUCUCUUCUCUUCUCUUCUCUUCUCUUCUCUUCUCUUCUCUUCUCUUCUCCUCUCCUCUCCUCUCCUCUCCUCUCCUCUCCUCUCUUCCUCUUCCUCUUCCUCUUCCUCUUCCUCUUCCUCUUCCUCUUCCUCUUCCUCUUCCUCUUCCUCUUCCUCUUCCUCUCCUCUCCCUCUCCUCUCCCUCUCCUCUCUGUGGGAAGCCAACUCCAAGAUGGCGCCGGUUUCCGGUUGCCGUUGUCAUAAACAACACCACUGCGCAGGCGUCAAUUCGAAUUUGGGGCCAACCCCUCCCAAGCGGGUGCAUGCAAAUUGGGUGCUGGCAGACUGACCAACCCCAGGGGGCCACGGAGCCUUCUCCUGUGCUGGGGUACAUAUAAGCAGGGCUCCCUGGGCGCCUGGGGUCCCCGUAGAAGCAUCAAGGCGAUCCUGCAAUAAAGGCUGUUGAGAAG